UACGGAGGGAGCUAGCGUUGUUCGGAAUUACUGGGCGUAAAGCGUGCGCAGGCGGUUUGCUAAGACAGGUGUGAAAUCCCCGGGCUUAACCUGGGAACUGCGCUUGUAACUGGCAAGCUUGAGUGUGGCAGAGGGGGGGUGGAAUUCCGACGUGUAGCAGUGAAAUGCGUAGAGAUGUGGAGGAACACCGGUGGCGAAGGCGGCCUGCUGGGCUAUUGCUGACACUGAGGCGCGACAGCGUGGGGAGCAAACAGG
rnacentral:rRNA from 1 species